CCUAGCCUAACAGUAAAAACGCAAUGUCCGUACUCCUCUCCAUAACUCCUUUUCUGACUUUUUUGACUCCACAAAGCAAAAUCAAGGGAAAACGGUAUUUCACAACUUUCUUCAAGUGUCUACCAUUAACCAAUUGAAUCGAAGUCAAAUGACCAGAGUCACGUCCACUUGAAAUGGAGAGAUAAUAGAUACUGGAAAUAUAAUCAUAGAGUUGAGCCAUUCCGGCUGCUAAACAGGAAAUUAUCUGAUGCCUUCGCACAUACUCCCUUCACACAUCCGAUUACAUUCCCUUCUUUUAACCUUUGCUUCUUAGAAAGGUCAAAAACUUAGUGAGUGUAUUAUGCACUGUCAAAAACCGAGGACUUAUUUAUUACCAGUACGGUAUUUACAGUUAAAUGACAGAAAAACAUCACGAGUACUGUGGAGCAGACAUUAAUUUAAUAAUUUAAAUAGAUCAUGACCGUCCAUUGAGGAGGUGGAAAGCAGGAGUAUAGUAUCUAAUUAGGAAGCGUUACAUUUGCAACCAGAAGCAACAUACUAUAAGCACAGACAUUAAUUUAAUAAUUAUACACAGGAGUAUAGUAUCUAAUUAGGAAGCGUUACACUUCCAACCAGAAGCAACAUACUAUAAGCACACCCCAAACAUCUGUGGCAGAAGACUUUCAACACCAAUCAGGUCACACUAUAUACCAUCAACAUAUCCCCACAGCUGCAGCACCUUUCUCAGUCCAUAGGACCUAUUGCCCCCGCAUCAGCACAAAGUGCACCUAAGAUUUAUCUGCAAUCUGCACAAAUUUAAGAUCAGAUCAAGCAAUACUCUGUUAUAAGGACUGCAAACAAUUAAACAUGACAACAUAUUAGGAGAAACUUAAGAACCCCAACUACGUGAAUUAUCCAUAUCUAUAUCCUGCAAAUCAAAAUUGUGACCAUCGACACUUGAUCAUUCAGCAAAGCUCUUCAAAUGCCUCUUACACAGAAAUUAAAGCUUUAACAAUAACACCCACAAGUGGGAUCUAGGAGGAUAGUAUGUAUAGGUAGAGAGGCUGUUUCCAGUAAAAUUAAAGCUUUGAAAAGUCAAUUUAUUAUAUACCGAUCUGCCUCCAAUUUAAUAUUCAAUGCUGAGGGAAACACAAUCGAGGGGUUUAGGUUUGCCCACAAAUAUUUAUACUCCUUAAUCACUAGAAUUGUUGUUACGAAGGUAAAAAUUGACCAGAGAAAGAAAUUCAAAGCUUUUCGAGAUCAGAAAUGAAUCUGCAUUAUAGUAAAAUAUAGAUGUAUAUCGUUCAAUUAAUGAUGUAGAAGCAAUGGUUGAUUUGUUUUUAGCACAACACAUAACAAGUAAUAUAGCUUACCAUACAUGCUGCCCAGCAUACAGUUAAUGCUGCUAAUUAGUAAAAUUGCCCUUUACUGAUUUAAAAAAGGUUAAAUAAACCAGAGAGCCAGACAAUGAUAUUUGUAGGAAUUUUCUACUCCAACUUCUUUUACUUUAGUAUUUAAAUACAUGUCACAAAAAGAAAGUGACAAGUAAUCAAGUCAUAAGAAAAAUAUGAAGUCCAAGCAAUACUAUGUACCUAUUAGUUUUACAGCCAAUUCUCAUCAUGUAAAAAUUUUUUAGUUGUCACUUUUCUGAAUUAGCGACCCCAGUCCUCGUUAGGUUCUAAACUGGCAGAAUCGUGAGACAUCAUAAGUGGUAAGUUGACUUUUGGCCUUUAUUCCCUACUAUCCCAUAGGUUAACUUCGUUCAUUCCUAAGUGGUAAGUUGAUUUUUGGCCUUUAUUCCCUACUAUCCCAUAGGUUAACUCCGUUCAUUCCAUUCUUAGGGAUAGGAUGGCCGGAAAAACUGGAGCAGUAUGUCCAUUAGCCGAAAGGAGUUACUCUCCUUUAGUGUCAUUUGAAGAACAAACACAGAUAUUCUACUCUAGCCAGCUUCUUGUAGAUUGAACUCUCUUCUCUUUAGGCUCCGCGUUCUUUGUCUAAGAUGGUCUUAGCUUAAAACUAUGGCAAAACCUACCCGCACAUGGUGUUUACACCGAUACAAGGACUACAUGACACGUCUUCACACAAACUCUCAUAUUUAAACCAUAUCUCACAAUAAUAUAUGACAUAACCAUGUACUAAUUUGCCAUAAACAUGAUACAUCUCCACAUAAACUACUAUCACUAAACCAUAUCUCACCUUAAUUUAUGGCUAAACCAUGCUAAAUUAGUACUCCCUCCGUUUCAAUUUACGUGAAUCUAUUUCCUUUUUAGUCCGUGCCAAAAAGAUGACCCAUUUCCAUAUUUGAAAAUAAUUCACUUUUAUGCAAUAAUUUAUAGUCUCACCAAUACAUGUGCCUUAUUUUACCCCACAAGUUCAAAGGUCUUCUCUUUGUUCUUAAACUCUAUGCCCAGUCAAAUAAGCUCAUUGAACAGACCGAAAAGUAGAAAAUGCACUCAUGCAAAAAUAAAAUAAAAUAAAAAUACAAUAAAAAUGAAUAAAAAGUUGAUAAAUAAAUGAGAUAUCAAUUACAAAGAUAUUCCAAUAUAUGUAUGCUACAUCACAUAAAUAACAUCUAUAAGCAUAAAAAAUGUUUGUUUAUACCUCAACCUAUUUGGGUUUUUUAUGCAUAUUGAUUUGUUCAUCAAUCAUUUUCAUAUUCUUAGUUUCUUACAUUAUUUAUAUUUCAGUUAAUCUAUUAAAUGAAGCUUCGGUCACGUUAAAAUAAACCUACAUAUCAUAUUGUCAAUAUGUAAACAUGCAGCCAGAUGCCCAGAAAUGAACUCCGAUGUUUCUAUGUGAUUUGAUGUUUCACUAGAAAUGAACUCUGCACAUCCAAACGGAAAAGCAAUUAAACUUUAAAGUAGCCUUGAAGCUAGUUAUAGAAUGAGAACAUCCAGAAGCUGGAAUGACAGAUCCAACCACCACAUCAACCAAAUAAAAUUGAUAAAACACCGGCAUACAAUUUGGAAAUGAACUCGGAUCAAUUUGAAUAAUCAAUUGCAUGAGCCUGAAAUUGUUAAUUGAGAAGGUGGUGAACAUUAUUUCCAUGUAAAAAACUCAGUCGAAACAUUUAGCUUUGGCUGUUCUUACUUUCAGUAAUCAAAUCCAACGUCAACCUUCACAAGCUCCUGGAAUGUGUUGGGAACUUCAAGAUUGGCAAUGUCACAUAAUUAAUAGAGAAGAUCUCGUUAAAUACGCUAACCUUGGUAUGGUAAUCACCCAACGAUUCAUCAAGGAUUAUUCAAUUCUAACCUACACUACUCGUGUACUGUAGACAAACACCAGGGAACUACGCAUAAAAAUCGUUUAGAAAAUGAAAACAAACAUAAAGGAUUAUUCGGAAAAACAGUCCAAAAUUAUGACCCCUCCAUUAUCAAUUUAAUUCAAACUUCAUGAAGCUAAAGUACCUGGUUAAGAGGAUUAUCCGGAGACUUCUUCCAUAGCUUCCAAAUCAAGUCUUUAUACUGAGUGUGUGUCAGACCUGGUUUUUCUUCCUUUACAACACGAAGCUCAGCCUCCU
rnacentral:lncRNA from 1 species